GUCUGUAUGGAGUUAUAUAGAGUCUAACCUGCCCGUUGAAAUAAUUUGAAAGGCCGCGGUAUAUUAACUGUGCAAAGGUAGCAUAAUCAUUAGCUUUUUAAUUGGGGGCUUGUAUGAAGGGUUGGACAAAGGAGAGACUGUCUUUACUUUUAGGUUUGAAAUUAACUUUUAAGUGAAAAGGCUUAAAUAAGUUUAAGGGACGAUAAGACCCUAUAAAUCUUUUAUAUUAGAAUAUUUUAUUGUAGUUUAAUAAAUGUUUAAGAUUAAAUAAAAAUAUGGAAAUAUUUUGUUGGGGUGACGAGAAUAUAAAAUAAACUGUUUAAAAAUAAAACCAAAUUUGUUUGUUUUUAGUAGAUCCUUUUUAGAGAUAGAGAGUUUAAGUUACUUUAGGGAUAACAGCGUUAUUUUCUUUGAGAGUUCUUAUCGAAAAGAGAGUUUGCGACCUCGAUGUUGAAUUAAAAUUUCUCUGCGGUGAAGUAGUUGCAGUGGUAAGUCUGUUCGACUUUU
rnacentral:rRNA from 1 species